CACAGAGGAAGGAUGGACAGAAGCACCUGUGGAUUUUUUCAGAUCUGAAGUUGCUUUAAAACACAUGGAAAACGACAGGCAGCGAAGUACCCAGCCCACGGCACUCCAUCAGAUUCAGGCGCAUCACGUUGCUGAGAGCUGCCAUGAACAUGCAUAGAUAUGCUACGCAGAACUUGGCUCUUAUUCUGCAGUGCUCCUCUCUCCUCCUCCAGACGCAACACCUUGUCCUUCAGACGUGACUUCUCUGAUUCCAGGUCCCGGAUGGCCGCCUCA